rnacentral:rRNA from 1 species
GUCAUAUGCUUGUCUCAAAGAUUAAGCCAUGCAUGCCUCAGUAUAAGUCUUUACAUGUCGAAACUGCGAAUGGCUCAUUAAAACAGUUAUAGUUUAUUUGAUGGUCACUCGUUAUUUGGAUAACUGUGGUAAUUCUAGAGCUAAUACAUGCACAAAAACGCGACUUCUCGGAAGCGUUGUAUUUAUUAGAUACAGAACCAAUCAGGCUUGCCUGUUUUUGGAUGAUUCAUAAUAAAUGUACGGAGCGUAUGGCUUGUGCCGACGCUGUGUCAUUCAAGUUUCUGACCUAUCAGCUUUCGACGGUAGGGUAUUGGCCUACCGUGGCAUUGACGGGUAACGGAGAAUUAGGGUUCGAUUCCGGAGAGGGAGCCCGAGAAACGGCUACCACAUCUAAGGAAGGCAGCAGGCGCGCAAAUUACCCAAUCACGACACGUGGAGGUAGUGACAAGAAAUAACAAAGCAAGCCAGUAUUCUGGUUUUGCUAUUGGAAUGAGUAGAAUUUAAAUCUCUUUACGACUAUCAAUUGGAGGGCAAGUCUGGUAAGGGCGAAUU